rnacentral:rRNA from 1 species
UUAGGUGACUAUUGCAAUGGGGUUCCACCUCUUCCCUUUCCGAACAGAGAAGUUAAGCCCAUUUGCGCCGAUGGUACUGCGUUUGCGUGGAAGAGUAGGUCGUUGCCGAUU